CAGCAGCCGCGGUAAUACGAAGGGGGCUAGCGUUGCUCGGAAUGACUGGGCGUAAAGGGCGCGUAGGCGGCGAUCAAAGUCAGGCGUGAAAUUCCUGGGCUCAACCUGGGGGCUGCGCUUGAUACUUGGUUGCUUGAGUGGGGAAGAGGGUCGUGGAAUUCCCAGUGUAGAGGUGAAAUUCGUAGAUAUUGGGAAGAACACCGGUGGCGAAGGCGGCGACCUGGUCCUUGACUGACGCUGAGGCGCGAAAGCGUGGGGAGCAAACAGGAUUAGAUACCCGUGUAGUCCCUGUCUCUUAUAA
rnacentral:rRNA from 1 species